GGGCGUCGUGCUGGACGGCGAGGCGGUGAUCGUUGAGGGCGGUCGGAUCUCGUACAGGGCGGUCCAGUCCCGCGCGGCGUCCAC
rnacentral:tRNA from 1 species